GCACCCUUAGCUCAGUUGGUAGAGCAACUGACUCUUAAUCAGUGGGUCUAGGGUUCGAAUCCCUAAGGGUGUA
rfam:Prevotella timonensis CRIS 5C-B1 contig00065, whole genome shotgun sequence.